rnacentral:tRNA from 1 species
GGGCCGUUAGCUCAAUUGGCGGAGCAGGGGCCUCUUAAGCCCAAGGUUGCUGGUUCGAUUCCAGCACGGCCCA